GAAAUUCAACUCAUACACUCAAUUUUCCGGCAUGUUCCUCGGGCCUGACGGAUCAUUGUCAACGGCCAAGUGGGAUGAUGCCAAGACAGACAUACAGCCAAGAGAGGACUGUGAAGAGUCAGCCAGGCUGAAUGAGGCUCCUUCCCCCGUCCCCCCAGUGGAAGACGCAUGUACGAGCUCUGCAGCAAGGAAGCAACUCAGUGGGCGACGGAUCUGCUCAAGACUCCGUCAGACCCUUUGCAGAGUGGUGCCCAAGCGUCUUCACCGCUGUCAUCAGUAAUCCUUUGUGUGCAAAGUGGGCUGUCAAGUUCAGACUAAUUGCGUGACCUUGGAAUAUAUUUGAAUAGCUGUGCUGCCUCCCCCCCCCAAUACAAUACAAUAAAAUAAAGCUACACAGCA